AGUCCGUCGCUUUCUGAUGAACUCAUGGGCUGUGGAAUUGGCUACGGAGGGGCAUCUGGCUCCUGGAGGCUGCUUCUUGCGCCCUAAACUCGCUUCUUAGGUGGACUGACUGUUGGACGGAUUUGUCUGCCACGCGUGCACAUUCUGAGUACAGGAAAGUGAAUUAGUUCUCAAUAAUGGGAAGAACCUAUAUUGUAGAAGAGAGUGUUGGCCAGUAUCUUUCAAACGUCAAUCUCCAAGGAAAGGAUUUUGUCUCUGGUCUUUUAAUAGGGCAGUGUUCUUCACAAAAGGAUUAUGUGAUUCUUGCCGCUAGAACACCACCCAACGAGGAACAAAAUGAGAACCUCAAACAUCCUAAAGCUAAGUUGGAUAACUUGGAUGAAGAAUGGGCCACAGUACAUGCCAACCAGGUAUCCAGAAUGCUACCAGGGGGUCUUUUAGUUCUUGGAGUGUUUAUCAUCACAACUUUAGAAAUGGCAAAUGAUUUUCAAAAUGCCCUGCGUAGGCUAGUAUUUGCUGUGGAAAAAUCUAUGAAUAAAAAGAGACUGUGGAAUUUCACAGAGGAGGAGGUCUCAGAACGAGUGACACUUCACAUUUGCUCUUCGACAAAAAAAAUAUUUUGUCGAACAUACGAUAUCCAUGAUCCAAAGAGUUCAGCAAAACCAGCAGAUUGGAAGUAUCAAAAUGGACUAUCAGCUUCAUGGCUUUCUUUAGAGUGUACUGUUCAUAUUAAUAUUCACAUUCCACUGUCUGCUACUUCUGUCAGCUAUACUCUGGAGAAAAAUACAAAGAAUGGACUUGCACGCUGGGCCAAGCAAAUAGAAAACGGUGUUUAUUUGAUUAACGGACAAGUUAAAGAUGAGGAUUGUGACCUAUUAGAAGGACAGAAAAAAUCUUCUAGAGGAAAUGCUCAAGCAACUAAUCAUUCUUUUGAUGUCAGAGUGCUAACACAGUUGCUUCUGAAUUCAGACCACAGAUCCACAGCCACAGUCCAGAUCUGCAGCGGCUCUGUAAACCUUAAGGGUGCUGUGAAAUGCAGAGCUUAUCUUCAUAGCAACAAACCCAAGGUUAAAGAUGCUGUGCAGGCGGUGAAGAGAGACAUAUUGAAUACAGUUGCGGACCGUUGUGAGAUGCUGUUCGAGGAUCUGCUUCUGAAUGAAAUUCCAGAAAAAGAAGAUUCUGAAAAAGAGUUCCACAUCCUCCCUCACCGAGUUUUUGUCCCCGUUCCGGGAUCCACUGUAAUGUUAUGUGAUUAUAAAUUUGGCGAUGAAUCAGCUGAAGAAAUCAGAGCCCAUUUUAUAGAAAUGUUAGAUCAUAUGAUUCAAAUAGAAGAUUUGGAAAUUGCAGAGGAAAUAAACACAGCUUGUUUGAGUUCCUCUGUGAAUACUGAAGCUUCACUGGACGGCACAGAUGAUGAACAACCAAAACAACCAAUUAAAACUACAAUAUUAGUGAAAAUUCAGCACAACAUAGGUGUGGUUGCAGCAUUUGCAGUGGCAGUCCUUGCUGCGGGUAUCUCCUUUCAUUACUUCAGUGAUUAGGGUGAGACACAGAGAGCGUCCUGAUCGUCCAGAGAACCCUGACCAACAAUUACGAAUAAUAAAGAUGCAAACAAUCCAUCUGCAUUUAAGACAACAGCAGCCAGAUCUGCUGCCAUAAUGCCUGUUAGAUUUUAGUUCUAUUGAUCUGGAUCACAUAUUGAUCAGGACAUUGAAAAGUUGAAUAGUCAGGUUGACUGAAUGUCUUAGUAAUAGAACAACAGGAGAAAUUUCUAUGAAGUGGGACGACAACCUGUUGGGUAAGUUCAUGCUCUAGGACCUUUAUAAUGUAGACUCAGUUCCAAAAUACUGAUUGAGUUCUGUUUGAGGGGUAGCAAAUCCUUCCAGAGAGGUUUGAAUCUGUAAGGAUUGCCAUAAACCAUGUGCUUUCCUCAGGUUAGUAUAUUAUAACUGUUUUAAUAUAUUAAAUAAGACUUUUGCUUGCAGCCGUACUUUAGACUAGGUACUAUAAAACAACUAGAUCCUGAAAAAAAUAUAUUUUUGAAUGUACUAAUAGGCUCAAAUAAAGCAGAGGAAAUCUCCAGGAGCUUCCUAUUUUUCCUCCCCCAUAAAAAGGAACACAUUUGGAGUUGGGAAUUGUAAAUAAUAUAUUAAGCUUAUAGGUGAACAGUGGUUUUCUGGAUGGCAGUUACUCUUGUAGCACUGUUGAAUGCAGUUUGUCAUGGAUCAAAAAUGAGAUAAAUCUGAAUCUGAGAUGCCACCC